GACGAACGCUGGCGGCGUGCUUAACACAUGCAAGUCGAACGGAAAGGCCGUGCGUUUGUGGGGUGCUGGAGUGGCGAACGGGUGAGUAACACGUGAGUAACCUGCCCUUGACUUUGGGAUAACUUCAGGAAACUGGGGCUAAUACCGGAUAGGAGCUCCCGCUGCAUGGUGGGGGGUGGAAAGUUUCGGCGGGUGGGGAUGGACUCGCGGCUUAUCAGCUUGUUGGUGGGGUAGUGGCUUACCAAGGCAUUGACGGGUAGCCGGCCCGGGAGGGUGACCGGCCUCAUUGGGACUACGGUACGGACCAGACUCCUACGGGAGGCAGCAGUGGGAAGUAUUACACAGUGAGCGGGAGCCUGUUGCGGAGACGCCGCGUGCGGAAUGACGGCCUUCUGGUUGUGAACCGCUUUCGCCUGUGACGCAGCGUGAGUGACGGUAAUGAAUAAAGAAGCACCGGCUAACUACGUG
rnacentral:rRNA from 1 species